rnacentral:rRNA from 1 species
UAGGGAAUCUUCCGCAAUGGACGCAAGUCUGACGGAGCAACGCCGCGUGAGUGAAGAAGGAUUUCGGUUCGUAAAACUCUGUUGUUAGAGAAGAACAGCGCAUAGAGUAACUGUUAUGCGUGUGACGGUAUCUAACCAGAAAGCCACGGCUAACUACGUGCCAGCAGCCGCGGUAAUACGUAGGUGGCAAGCGUUGUCCGGAUUUAUUGGGCGUAAAGCGAGCGCAGGCGGUCAAUUAAGUCUGAUGUGAAAGCCCCCGGCUCCACCGGGGAGGGUCAUUGGAAACUGGUUGACUUGAGUGCGGAAGAGGAGAGUGGAAUUCCAUGUGUAGCGGUAAAAUGCGUAGAUAUAUGGAGGAACACCAGUUGCGAAGGCGACUCUCUGGUCUGUAACUGACGCUGAGGUUCGAAAGCGUGGGUAGCAAACAGG